CGGGUUUCGCGACGAUUGAGCCGGAUAAAGUUGAACAGGUUCGUUGUCGACGAAACCUGCA
rnacentral:pre_miRNA from 1 species